AAAUUUCGUGCAAAUUUCCAAAAUUUACGUGAUUUUUCUGAAAAAAAUUGUUUACGAUUUCUUAGCGACCCGCACUUUUUCCCAUUACAAUCGCACACACACACGGGCGCAGUGCUACCAGAUUACAUUCAAAAUUGUUGUGCCUAUUGUAUUUAAAGCGAAAUGGCCAUUUUGAUGGGGUAAAGCGAAUAUGAAAUUCUACCGAUAGUUUUGUGUUCUGUCAUUUGCAAAGUAAAAAUGACUUUGUGGAUAAGUAAAAAUUUAUCGCAUACGGAAUUGAAUUAUAAGUUAUAGAAGAGUACGAACCUUACUUAAAAACUUAUUUUAUAGGCUCGGAAUUCAGCAUAGAAAAUUGAAUUUCUAAUAAAUACGGAAUAAUUAAAAUGAAAAUGAUGGAGAGAGGUACUAUUUCGGCAGUCAAUGUGUCAAUGUGAAUGUAUCGAUUAAUUAAAAAUUAAUCAUGGAGAAAUGAAACUGGAUAAAAGCUAUCUGAGGAAAGAGAACGAAUAAAAAAUAUAGAAAAAUGGAUAAGACGGAUUGUAAAUAAUAGAAAAAAUGUAUUUGUGGAUAAUAUGUUAACUCCUUCUUUUCGACCAAAAGACGACGAAUAAUGGAUAAACAUUAUAAACGUCCGCUCUAGGCAAGUAGACAACUAAAAAUUUAAUUCCUCGGAUUAAAAAUUGGAUUUCUAUACAUGACUUUGUUAGUCAAAGUUUAUACAUAAAUUAUGUCAUUGUAAUGUCUUUUUGUUAAAAAACGAGCCGUGCCAUGAAAAUAUAUUUACACGAUACGAAACUAUACGAAUAGUAUGGAAGCUUAUGGAAAUGCAAUAAUAAAUCAGAACAUGGGGGUUGCCAUCCAUUUGCGUACGCCUGUUGUAAACAAUGGUUGUAAUAUGUUUUCGUUGUAUUGAGAUAAAAGGGAGAAAACCAUGGCAUUUUUAACAACAUUAAAAAAGGAGAAUAAAAUUCACAAUUGUGGAAGAAUUUUUGCAUAACUUGCGACCAAUGAAAAAUAGUUUGGGAUGCGUCAUCUGAACGGAUAUCACAUUACCGACAGAGGAAAACUUGCAUAGCAACUAUUGCGGCAAUAG